rnacentral:tRNA from 2 species
CGGAGCGUGGCGCAGUCUGGUAGCGCACUUGCAUGGGGUGCAAGGGGUCCCGGGUUCAAAUCCCGGCGCUCCGACCA